GCAGCGUCAAAUGGGUAUAAGAGACAGGUGAGUCAUCGAAUCUUUGAACGCACAUUGCGCCCCCUGGCAUUCCGGGGGGCAUGCCCGUUCGAGCGUCAUUAACACCCAUCAAGCCUGGCUUGGUAUUGGGCGUCGGGAGCUCCCCGCGCCCCGAUUUCGCCGGCUGGACGACCCCGAUCUCAAGCGUUGUGAUGAAUCUCGCUGGAGGGACGGGCGGCCACGCCGUUAACCUCGUAAUCAAAGUUGACCUCGGAUCGGGUAGGAAUACCCGCUGAACUUAAGCAUAUCAAUAAGCGGAGG
rnacentral:misc_RNA from 1 species